rnacentral:sRNA from 1 species
UAAAACAAAUAAUAGACGGUGACAUAA